CUUACUGAUCCUAACCAAACUCCGAAUACCGAGAAGUACUAUCUGGCAGACACACAGUGGGUGCUAACGUCCAUUGUGGAGAGGGAAACAACCCUGACCGCCAGUUAAGGUCCCUAAGUUAUGGCUAAGUGGGAAAGGAUGUAGAACUCCCAAAACAACCAGGAUGUUGGCUUAGAAGCAGCCAUCAUUUAAAGAAAGCGUAACAGCUCACUGGUCUAAAUAAGGGGUUCCGCGCCGAAAAUGUACCGGGGCUCAAGCCAUACACCGAAACUGCGGGUGCAUCUUAGGAUGCGCGGUAGCGGAGCGUUCUGUAAGUCUGCGAAGGUAUGGCGUGAGCCAUGCUGGAGAUAUCAGAAGUGAGAAUGCUGACAUGAGUAGCGAUAAACAGUGUGAGAGACACUGUCGCCGAAAUCCCAAGGGUUCCUGCGCAAGGCUAAUCCGCGCAGGGU
rnacentral:rRNA from 1 species